rnacentral:rRNA from 1 species
GACAAACGCUGGCGGCACACAUAAGACAUGCAAGUCGAACGGAAAUAUAUUUUUGUUUACAAAGAUAUAUUUUAGUGGCGGACGGGUGAGUAACGCGUGGGUAACCUGCCUUCAAGAGGGGAAUAGCACAGAGAAAUUUGUGAUAAUACCGCAUAACAUUGCACUGCUGCAUGGCAGAGCAAUCAAAGGAGUAAUCCGCUUGAAGAUGGACCCGCGUCUGAUUAGCUAGUUGGAGUGGUAAUGGCACACCAAGGCGACGAUCAGUAGCCGAACUGAGAAGUUGAUCGGCCACAUGGGGACUGAGACACGGCCCAGACUCCUACGGGAGGCAGCAGUCGGGAAUAUUGAACAAUGGUGGAAACCCUGAUGCAGUGAUGCCGCGUAUAGGAAGAAGGUUUUCGGAUUGUAAACUAUUGUCGACAGGGAAGAUGAAAAGACGGUACCUGUGGAGGAAGCCCCGGCUAACUACGUGCCAGCAGCCGCCGUAACAC